GGGGAAUAUUGCGCAAUGGGCGGAAGCCUGACGCAGCGACGCCGCGUGGGGGAUGACGGCCUUCGGGUUGUAAACCUCUUUCAGCAGGGACGAAGCGAGAGUGACGGUACCUGCAGAAGAAGCACCGGCCAACUACGUGCCAGCAGCCGCGGUAAUACGUAGGGUGCGAGCGUUGUCCGGAAUUAUUGGGCGUAAAGAGCUCGUAGGCGGCUUGUCGCGUCGAAUGUGAAAACUCGGGGCUCAACUCCGAGCUUGCAUUCGAUACGGGCAGGCUAGAGUUCGGUAGGGGAGACUGGAAUUCCUGGUGUAGCGGUGAAAUGCGCAGAUAUCAGGAGGAACACCGGUGGCGAAGGCGGGUCUCUGGGCCGAUACUGACGCUGAGGAGCGAAAGCGUGGGGAGCGAAC
rnacentral:rRNA from 1 species